GGGAGAAGGCACGCUGGCGUUAGGUGAAAGGACUAGCUCCUGGAGCUGAAGCCAGUCGCAGAUACCAGCUGGCUGCAACUGUUUAAUAAAAACACAGCACUGUGCAAACACGAAAGUGGACGUAUACGGUGUGACGCCUGCCCGGUGCUGGAAGGUUAAUUGAUGGGGUCAGCCGCAAGGGGAAGCUCUUGAUCGAAGCCCCAGUAAACGGCGGCCGUAACUAUAACGGUCCUAAGGUAGCGAAAUUCCUUGUCGGGUAAGUUCCGACCUGCACGAAUGGCGUAAUGAUGGCCAGGCUGUCUCCACCC
rnacentral:rRNA from 1 species